ensembl:lncRNA
CGAGGUCUCUCGCUCGCUCUCUCUCUCGUCUCAUUCAUCCGCAGCAGGCGUCGAGGAUCUUCAGAGUGAAAUGCCGCGGUGCGAUGCGAGGAAAGGUCUGUGCUCUUCAUUAAUGAUGCAUGUGCCAUUUGAGGCGUUUAUGUCUCUUUCUCGUGUCACCUUGAGGGUCGGACCUGAAUAUCUACCCAACUAACAUUCCCUCAAAGUUACAGUGUGAACAAACGUUCCACCAGCAACAUUAACAGAGCGUUUGCUCAGUCAUCUGGUUUUUAAUAACGUUAUCAAAAUGUUAGCACAAAAAACGUUUAUAUAUUAUUCAUAGAAUGUUUAUCUUAGUUGGAUGUUUGCCUUUUUUUUUUUAAACAACUACCUAUAUGAGUGUGUGUGUGUGUGUUUGUGUGAGUGAUGUGUGUGUGUGUGUGUGUGUGUGUGUGUUUGUGUGUGUGAGUGUGUUUGUGUGAGUGUGUGUGUUUGUGUGUGUUUGUGUUUGUGUGAGUGUGUUUGAGUGUGUGCGUGUGUGCACACUGUUGUGUGUGUGUGUGUGUGUGUGUGUUCACACUGUUGUGUGUAUGUGUGUUCACACUGUUGUGUGUGUGUGUGUGUUCACACUGUUGUGUGUGUGUGUGUUCACACUGUUGUGUGUGUGUGUGUGUGUGUGUGUGUGUGUGUGUGUGUGUGUGUGUACACACUGUUGUGUGUGUGUGUGUGUGUGUGUGUGUGUGUUUACAUUUUUGUGUGUGUGUGUGUGUGUGUGU